UGCGUAGGUGGCGCGGUAAGUCGGGUGUGAAAUUUCGGAGCUUAACUCCGAAACUGCAUUCGAUACUGCCGGGCUUGAGGACUGGAGAGGAGACUGGAAUUUACGGUGUAGCAGUGAAAUGCGUAGAGAUCGUAAGGAAGACCAGUGGCGAAGGCGGGUCUCUGGACAGUUCCUGACACUGAGGCACGAAAGCCAGGGGAGCAAACG
rnacentral:rRNA from 1 species